rnacentral:rRNA from 1 species
UCCUACGGGUGGCAGCAGUAGGGAAUAUUGGGCAAUGGUCGGAAGACUGACCCAGCCAUGCCGCGUGCAGGAAGACGGCCCUCUGGGUUGUAAACUGCUUUUAUCUGGGAAGAAAAAGGCCAUGCGUGGCAAAUUGCCGGUACCAGAUGAAUAAGCACCGGCUAACUCCGUGCCAGCAGCCGCGGUAAUACGGAGGGUGCGAGCGUUGUCCGGAGUUAUUGGGUUUAAAGGGUGCGUAGGCGGCUGAUUAAGUCAGCGGUGAAAGACUUCGGCGUAACCGGAGCAGUGCCGUUGAUACUGGUUGGCUUGAGUGUCGGAGGGGUACAUGGAAUUGAUGGUGUAGCGGUGAAAUGCAUAGAUACCAUCAGGAACACCGAUAGCGAAGGCAUUGUACUGGCCGACAACUGACGCUGAUGCACGAAAGUGUGGGGAUCGAACAGGAUUAGAUACUAGUC